UAAGUGAAGCUUCAUACUGCUACCAAAUAGAAUGAUGCUUUACCUUGGUUGAGUUAAAGGUAAUCUACCAAUCAAUAAAGGCAAUGAUAAUAUUGUAGAUGGGUAAUAUAUAUCACACAAAAAUAUACUUAACAUUUUUGUUCCAACAAUUGUGUUGCAUAACUAAACUAAAGGAUAAUAUUCAUAAUAUAUAUAUUAUUUUUCACGAAAGAACAGUAGAGAGUCUCUACGAAAAUCAAUCAUUCUUACGCUCCCACCACUAUCGAGCCAGGUGUAAUUUUGCGGACUACGAGAGCGAUAGCGAGUGAUCCACAAGCUCAGUCUGCGUGUGCGAAACACUUCCUUUCUCUCAUGAAAAAUAGUGUAGGUAAUAUUUUUAAAUAAAUUANGAAUUAAGUGUGUAUGUAUGUAUUUUUUAAAUAAAGUUAUUAUGUUUGUACAAAGUAUUGUAGUAACAUUUUACUCAAUGUUUUCAUAAAUAACAUAAUAAAUUUAUAUUCAUUUUUUACUGGAAAUGCUUAGUUUGGAUGUCAAUUUACAACCACAAUCCUUUGUCUUGAAACUUAGUUUUUAAUGGCAUUGAGUAUAUCCUGGUGCUUAAAAAAUUAAUUUAUGGCUACUACUUCAUGAAGUGUAAUUUGACCUAUCAAUUUUUGAAGAUAAGGUAAUUUGGUAUUGUAUGGAUUUAUAUCAGUUUGUGUGUGAUUUUUCUAACCCAACCUAAUCUACCAAGAUGAUAGCAUAGUUGGUUUUUAGAUAGUGUACAACCAUCAUAGUAAUUUUAGUAAAUUCAUUAUUCUUUAAUAUAAUAAUAUUAUAAUUAUAUAGCUCACUGAGGGUCACUGUUUUUUUAUAUUAACAAUUAUAUCAUAAAUGCAUAAUUUAUAAAGGUUACAUUAAUUUUCAGAUGUCUAUUUUGUUUUACAUUUUAAUUAACAGAUUUCUAAUUUAAAAUAUUAUAUAUUUUAACACUUACAUAAUAUUCAUUAUCAUAAUAUUGCAUAUAUAUAUAUAGAUACUGAUUCAAAAGUCUAAAUGUUCUUCAUUAGGUAUUAAAUAUUUAAAUUUUUCCAUCACGCAUUCAUAAUAAAUACUUUAGGCUGAUUCAUGUUCUAUUAAUCAAGCUGGGUUUCAGAAUCCAGUUUACUCUUUAAUUUUUUUGGGAAAAUGUUGGAGUCCUAACAAUUCAGAAUGCUAAAUUAUCAGAUUAUCAGAAUAUUUUUUAUCUUAGAACUCUUUAUUUUCUUGCACCAGCUGUCUGAUAAAUAAUUGUUCUGUUAUUUUGUUUUUCAGCACAUCUAUUUUCUAACAAAAAUCAUUAUAAUUAUUUAUGAGCCAUUAAACAUUUUGUCUUUUGGUAUUUAAUCUCUUAAAAAAUUGUUUUACAUAAUAUUAUUUUUAAACAAUUAUAUCUUAAUUUGUCUACUACUUUGUGCAAAGGAUAUUUAAGCAUCAAAUCAGUUUGGGUCACAGUAGUAAUAUACUUGUAUUUACACCACUUACUCAAAUAGACAUCUAUUCUAAAUCUAUUUUCUAGAAUAAAACUCCAGUAGUGCAUAUUCACUAAUAUUUGUCAAUAUAAGUUGAAUUAUAAUAAUGAUAAUUUAAUAAUCCAGUCUUGGACAAAAUAAAAUAAUUUUAUUUCUGAAUUUCUUAGGGCAACUGGAACAAAUUGUUAUUGUCAUUGGGUUACUAAGUAUAAACUUAAGCAGCAGGCUGCAAAUUAUGCAUGGACAUAAGUCCUUCAUAUGUCUAUAAUAUCAUUUCAUGACCAUAUUGGGAUCUAACUUAUCUAUUCAGAACUAUUAUCAUUUUUAAUAUUUCCUGCAGCAUAGUAUUAUAUACUAUACACAAUAUGUAUUUACACACCUUACAAAAAUAUACAUUAUAUAGUAUAAUUUGAUGUAACUUAUGUAAAUGGUACACUUAAAAGAAUUAUUCAAAACAAUUUUGUUCUUCAGAAUAGUUCUUCAAUUCUCAAAGAAUAAUUUGGACUUUUUACCAAAUACCCAUGGAGAUAGUAAAUAAUUUGUGUGACAAAAACAGCACAAAUAACAAAGUACUACAAGUAUUCAAAUGUAAAUUGAAAAGCAUAAAACUAAAAUUGUAUAUAAUUUAAUUAUCUUAUUCAAUUGAUUUAUAUAUAAUAAUCAAAUUAUUCAUUUGAAUAAUAAAUAUUUUAACUUAUUUUUUGUUAUUAAUAAUUGUUAAUCCAUUUAUACUGUACCAAAUCGACUAAUUUAAAAAUAUGUAUUAUAUAAAAAAAAAAACUUAAUUAAAAUGUUAUAAUUCAUAGUUUCUAUGAUAUUGAAUAAUUUGAUGAGUUAAAUUUUAUCGAGGAAAAUGUCCUCUGUAUAGAUUAUUCAUAAUAUUAUAAAUAAGUAGGUAAUUUAGUUAAGACAGAAAUUAAGGAACAAUUACAAACAUGGCUUGUACAAAUGUAUAAUAGAAAAAAAAAAACAAUAUUGUACACUAUCAUUACUAUUUGGUAUUAUAUCAGCUUAAGUUACAUUAGUUCAACAUAGUAGUACAUUAGGUAUUUAUAAACUAACAAUACUUAGCAUAUCAAUAUUCUUAUGUUUACAAAUUAAAUAGAUUUUUGUUUUAAAAACUUUUGUAAAAUUGUAAUUAUAAUUUAAUUAUUUUUAUAGGAGUACCACCUGCUUGGUGGUCCUGGAGAAGUUUUUGGACAUUAUUCAGUUCCUGAUUCCAUUAAUAUCAUAUUGCUAUAUUAAAGCAGAUGAAGCUUCAUACUACUACCAAAUGUAAUGUUGCCUUACCUUGUUUGAGUUAAGGGUAAUAACCUAACCUAACUUAACCUUGUUGUCUUUAGUAGACUUACACUUAAACAUCAUUUCUCUUGAAAUUGCUAAUUUAAUCAGCUAAUUCAAUGUUUAAUUUUUUUGGUCCAGUAACCUAACAGACUAAUUUAAAAUUAUGUGGUAUAAAAAAAAAAAAAAACAAACAAAUUAAAAUAUUAUAAUUCUUAGUUUCUAUGAAAUAGUUUCUUAAAUACUAUUGAAAGAAAAAAGAAAAAAUAUGAACAAAUGUUAUAUUAUUGAUUACUUUGAUUUAAGUUCCUAAAAUGUGAUUUAUUAUUUUGUUUCAAUUUUAUUAAUAAUAAUAAUAACUUUAUUCACUUUUUUAAAGAAGUUUUCCACAUUAAUUGCUUUUUAUUAUUUUAAUUAAGUGACUACUUUGCAAAUAAGAAAGCUUUGUUUUAAUAGAAAUAUUAUUUCAGAUUGAGCACAUAAAUGAGAUGACCAGCCGAUUCAUUUAAAGUAGAUCUUUAAAUAAAAUAUUCAAAUAUACUAAAAGAAGAUAAGAAAAAUAAUGAAAUGGAAAAGGUACACAUUUUUGAGUUUAAAAUAUUAUUAGUACAGAAACAAAAACCAGAUUUUAUGUUUUAGGGAAAUGGAUAUACAAUUUGCUUACUAAUAAGAAAAAUUGUUGAAUUUAGCAACAAUUUUAUACAAUUGGGUUUGGCAGAUACUAAGUGGAAAAUUAAAAUAAACAACACACAAGUUAUAAGAUAAGCAGCAUACUAUAUAACGUUUUCUAAUUUAAUUU
rnacentral:lncRNA from 1 species